AAUCAACGCUGGCGGCGUGCCUAACACAUGCAAGUCGGACGAGAAAGUGGAGCAAUCCAUGAGUAAAGUGGCGCACGGGUGAGUAACACGUGACUAACCUACCCUUGAGUGGGGGAUAACCUAGGGAAACCUGGGCUAAUACCGCAUAAUACCUACGGGUCAAAGGAGCAAUUCGCUUUAGGAGGGGGUCGCGGCAGAUUAGUUAGUUGGCGGGGUAAUGGCCCACCAAGACGAUGAUCUGAUCCGGCCUGAGAGGGCGCACGGACACACUGGAACUGAAACACGGUCCAGACUCCUACGGGAGGCAGCAGUGGGGAAUUUUGCGCAAUGGGGGAAACCCUGACGCAGCAACGCCGCGUGGAGGAUGAAGACCCUUGGGUCGUAAACUCCUUUCGAUCGGGAC
rnacentral:rRNA from 1 species